rnacentral:tRNA from 1 species
GGGCGCUUAGCUCAGGGGGAGAGCGCUUGCUUGACAUGCAAGAGGUCGCUGGUUCAAAUCCAGCAGCGCCCACCA